AGAAAAGAUGUGAAUUUUAUUUAGAUAACAAUAAUAACAGAAUUACAACAAGUGUAUUUAAAGACAGAAAGUAAAUCACGGAGGCAAUAUAUGGUAUCUUUUUCCAUAAUUCAAUAAAUUGGUUGUAAGUGCAUUCGGACAAUCAUGAUUUAUGAAUUCCAGGAUACAACCGAUCACAAACUAAUACACGAGCACACGAGUAAUAGACUCAAGCGAACUUGAUCUACGAUAUACUCUCGAACUUACUUUUAAGAAGCAAGAGAGAUGCGAGAUUUUA
rnacentral:lncRNA from 1 species